rnacentral:rRNA from 1 species
ACGCUCGACACCUACUGGAGGCAGCAGUGGGGAAUAUUGGGCAAUGGGCGCAAGCCUGACCCAGCAAUGCCGCGUGAAGGAAGAAGGCUUUCGGGUUGUAAACUUCUUUUGUCAGGGAAGAGUAGAAGACGGUACCUGACGAAUAAGCCACGGCUAACUACGUGCUAGCACGCCGGACGGUAAUCUGAGGCGGGCGUGGACGAAGGC